UAUGAUGGAAUGACUCUCGGCAACGGAUAUCUCGGCUCUCGCAUCGAUGAAGAACGCAGCGAAAUGCGAUACGUGGUGUGAAUUGCAGAAUCCCGUGAACCAUCGAGUUUUUGAACGCAAGUUGCGCCCGAGGCCAUCUGGUUGAGGGCACGCCUGCCUGGGCGUCAGUU
rnacentral:rRNA from 1 species